GCCAUGAGGUGAACAACAAAAAUGUACCUUUUCUCUUUUAGAGUUAAUUAGCUGAGGUAUUUUGUCACAGACAGAAGGCUAUUGCAGAAAAUUGGAAGAGCUUACUGCCGAGUUUGCCUUGAGUUGGGAAGGAAACUUCGGAUUUGGACUUUUAGGCAACUCUGGAACAGUUAAGACUUUGGGGACUCUUGAAGGGGGACUAAGUGUGUUUUGCAUUAUGAGAUGGACAUGAGUCUUUGGGGGCCAGCGAUGGAAUGUUAAGGUUUGGGACAGCCUCAGACAAACCCCACACAGAGCUCACACAUCAUCCCUGACCAUCAAGGGUUGGAGAAACAACCCCGCUGUUCCCAGGAUGCA